UACGAAGGGGGCUAGCGUUGCUCGGAAUUACUGGGCGUAAAGGGCGCGUAGGCGGCACUGUUAGUCAGGCGUGGAAAUUCCUGGGCUCAACCUGGGGACUGCGCUUGAUACGGCAGAGCUAGAGGAUGGAAGAGGCUCGCGGAAUUCCCAGUGUAGAGGUGAAAUUCGUAGAUAUUGGGAAGAACACCGGUGGCGAAGGCGGCGAGCUGGUCCAUUCUGACGCUGAGGCGCCGACAGCGUGGGGAGCGAACAGG
rnacentral:rRNA from 1 species